rnacentral:rRNA from 1 species
GACGUAGGUGGCGAACGUUAUCCGGAAUUAUUGGGCGUAAAGAGCUCGUAGGCGGUCUGUCGCGUCGGCUGUGAAAUCCCGGAGCUCAACUCCGGGUCUGCAGUCGAUACGGGCAAACUGGAGUACUGCAGGGGAGACUGGAAUUCCUGGUGUAGCGGUGAAAUGCGCAGAUAUCAGGAGGAACACCGGUGGCGAAGGCGGGUCUCUGGGCAGUAACUGACGCUGAGGAGCGAAAGCGUGGGGAGCGAACAGG